GACGAACGCUGGCGGCAUGCCUAUUACAUGCAAGUCGAACGCUGAAGCACUCUGCUUGCAGAGUGCGGAUGAGUGGCGAACGGGUGAGUAACGCGUGGGAAAUCUACCUAAAAGUGGGGGAUAACAUUCGGAAACGGAUGCUAAUACCGCAUAUCUUCAAGAACCGCAUGGUUCCUGAACGAAGACGGCUUCGGCUGUCGCUCUUAGAUGAUCCCGCGGCGUAUUAGUUAGUUGGUGGGGUAAAGGCCUACCAAGACAAUGAUACGUAGCCGACCUGAGAGGGUGAUCGGCCACACUGGGACUGAGAACGGCCCAG
rnacentral:rRNA from 1 species